rnacentral:rRNA from 1 species
UACGGGAGGCAGCAGUGGGGAAUAUUGCACAAUGGGCGAAAGCCUGAUGCAGCUAUGCCGCGUGUAUGAAGAAGGCCUUAGGGUUGUAAAGUACUUUCAUCGGGGAGGAAAAACAAAACUAAUAAUUUUAUUUCUUGACGUUACCCGAAAAAGAAGCACCGGCUAACUCCGUGCCAGCAGCCGCGGUAAUACGGAGGGUGCUAGCGUUAAUCAGAAUUACUGGGCGUAAAGAGCACGUAGGUGGUUUUUUUAAAGUCAGAUGUGAAAUCCCUGGGCUUAACCUAGGAACUGCAUUUUGAAACUGAAAUACUAGAGUAUCGUAGAGGGAGGUAGAAUUCUAGGUGUAGCGGUGAAAUGCGUAGAUAUCUGGAGGAAUACCUGUGGCGAAAAGCGGCCUCCUAAACGAAUACUGACACUGAGGUGCGAAAAGCGUGGGGAGCAAAACAGGGAUUAGAUACC